rnacentral:lncRNA from 1 species
GCAAUUGGUGAAAUUUAGUAUAUGUUUUGAGGGUUGCUGUCACUUCUGAGUUGCCCUCUCAGCUUACCAACCCUCUAGCAUUUUUAGGAUUAAUAACCAGUUUGCUUUUAAUCUUUCCUCAGUAAUUUCAUAUUGAUGAUUAACGUCCAUCCGACUGAGUCACUCGUUAGAUCAUUAUUGUUAUCAUUAUUAGUGAUCUUCUUGGUUUCUGUGCUCCUUUUCUGCUGCUUUUUCAAACUGCUUUGAACAGUUUGCCCUUUCAUGACAGCCCUUCUCCAAACUGCUCCGAAAUCUUCAUAUCCCAAUUACUCCUUGUGAAACCAGAAUGUCAGGAUUUCAUAUUUGAUGGGACUGUCCCUCAAAUUUCUUUAGUAUUCUGGGAACGUCUUUUAAUAUUUUCUAUUAUAUGCACUUUAAAUAUUCACUCGCUGAUUCCUCAAAUCGCAACUCAGUGAUAAUGCAUUGUUUCUUUCCACAUUUCUCUUAUGAAGGGGCUGUUGGACCUCUCAUAUGCCAUUUCCUAUUUUUCCAAUCUUCAGUCCUUUGGGGUACACAUUCAUCAAUUUCUCAAACAACACAUCAGCUCUAAUAUUGAAUUUACAGAAUUCAGCUGAUAAAAUUGUUGCUACCCUUUUCUUGCUUUGCCUGUCUU